GGUCGGUUGGCGCAAUGGUAGCGCGUGGCCCUCCUAUUCCCUUGAAUAAUCAAAGGCCAAGGUUGCGGGUUCGAGUCCCGUGCUGAUCG